CUCAUUUUUAUUAUCAGUCACACGACUUACAUCUGUGAAAACGGCUCGCAUAGCACACCAAAACAACAAGAGAGAGAAAACAAGCUUUAAUUAAACACAAAGCACAAGCAGCAGAAAUCAAUGGAUUUGAACCUCCUUCAAAUCCUUUUUAGGCUGUUCAGUCCUGGGAAUGGUAAUAUGGAGAACCCCAUUCUUCAACUCGGCUUUAAUAUCAUCAACUUUAGCAUCAUCAGGCAGCAAAACACCGGUGUUAUAGUAUCCAUAGCUCCUCAUUG
rnacentral:misc_RNA from 1 species